rnacentral:misc_RNA from 1 species
AAUCUAUCAGUGGGAUCCGCUUUGCUAGAUCCUCGACGUUGAUAAGAUGUUUCUACGUCUUGGGUUUUGCUCGGGAAGGACCUGCUUCUAACCGUCCCAUCAGGGACAUCGUUCGAGCCGAUCGCCCUUCACGGGGUGGGAAGCUUUUCGACCCAUGAAACCUUGACCUCAAAUCGGGUGAGACUACCCGCUGAACUUAA